rfam:Myotis brandtii contig250076, whole genome shotgun sequence.
GGCGGUUCUCGGGUGACACACCCUGGAAUCAGGCUCCCUCCUCUCUGGUUCUGGGUGUGUCCCCCGACAACUGCA